rnacentral:rRNA from 1 species
UACGUAGGGGGCAAGCGUUGUCCGGAAUCAUUGGGCGUAAAGAGCGUGUAGGCGGCUCGGUAAGUCCGCUCUGAAAGCCCGGGGCUCAACCCCGGGAGGCGGGCGGAUACUGUCGAGCUAGAGUCCGGAAGAGGCGAGUGGAAUUCCUGGUGUAGCGGUGAAAUGCGCAGAUAUCAGGAGGAACACCGAUGGCGAAGGCAGGUCUCUGGGCUGACACUGACGCUCAUGCACGAAAGCGUGGGGAGCGAACAGG